rnacentral:rRNA from 1 species
CCUACGGGUGGCAGCAGUGAGGAAUAUUGGUCAAUGGACGAGAGUCUGAACCAGCCAAGUAGCGUGAAGGAUGACUGCCCUAUGGUUUGUAAACUUCUUUUAUAUGGGAAUAAAAUGUUCCACGUGUGGGAUUUUGUAUGUACCCUAUGAAUAAGGAUCGGCUAACUCCGUGCCAGCAGCCGCGGUAAUACGGAGGAUUCGAGCGUUAUCCGGAUUUAUUGGGUUUAAAGGGAGCGUAGGUGGAUUGGUAAGUCAGUUGUGAAAGUUUGCGGCUCAACCGUAAAAUUGCAGUUGAAACUGGCAGUCUUGAGUACAGUAGAGGUGGGCGGAAUUCGUGGUGUAGCGGUGAAAUGCUUAGAUAUCACGAAGAACUCCGAUUGCGAAGGCAGUUCACUGGACUGCAACUGACACUGAGGCUCGAAAGUGUGGGUAUCAAACAGGAUUAGAUACCCGGGUAGUC